GACGAACGCUGGCGGCGUGCUUAACACAUGCAAGUCGAACGGAAAGGCCCUGCUUUUGUGGGGUGCUCGAGUGGCGAACGGGUGAGUAACACGUGAGUAACCUGCCCUUGACUUUGGGAUAACUUCAGGAAACUGGGGCUAAUACCGGAUAGGAGCUCCUGCUGCAUGGUGGGGGUUGGAAAGUUUCGGCGGUUGGGGAUGGACUCGCGGCUUAUCAGCUUGUUGGUGGGGUAGUGGCUUACCAAGGCUUUGACGGGUAGCCGGCCUGAGAGGGUGACCGGCCACAUUGGGACUGAGAUACGGCCCCGACUCCUCCGGGAGGCAGCAGUGGGGAAUAUUGCACAAUGGGCGGAAGCCUGAUGCAGCAACGCCGCGUGCGGGAUGACGGCCUUCGGGUUGUAAACCGCUUUCGCCUGUGACGAAGCGUGAGUGACGGUAAUGGGUAAAGAAGCACCGGCUAACUACGUG
rnacentral:rRNA from 1 species